UAAUUCAAAAACGACGUCGUAUAUGUAAUACACACAACACAGUGUCCAGAGUCCCACUAUUGAAUGACGAAAUUGAGUUAAGAGAAACCCUAGUGAAUUACAGAGUGAAUUACAGAGCGAAUUCAGCUACAAAUUGAUUCGACAAUGGCGAUUUCAGGAGAUCUUAGGGUUUCCGCAGCUCUGAGUUCGUACAAAUUCAACCCCCUUCGCACAAGAUCGCAUUUCCCCCCUUCCAAGGUAAUUUGUUCAACUCAUUCUCCAUUUUUCCGUUAGAUGUUUCUCUCUCUAGUUUUUCCCUUUUUGUUAUUCAAUACUGUUGUUCUGGAGAUUAAUUAAUCUCUAUUUUCAGCAUUUAAUUAUAUAUGUUAAAUUAUUUGUGAAUAUGGAUGAAGGAAGGGCUACAUUAUAUUCGUGAAUGUUGGGUAUAAGCUUUACAAUGAUGAUUCCGCGAUUACGUUUAUCUAAUUUUCUACCCGAAAAAUUACCGCCUUCGUGCAAAUACUUUUUUCCUCCUUGUUCUAAAGCAUGUAUAAAGCAACUUAAUUAGGAUGUGUUAAUUUCCAUCUUUGUUUGAUGAUUCCUUUCGAGGUUGAUCAGUGAAGUGGCUUCUAACUAUGCUCGUUUAUUAAACGAUUCAAGCUUCAUGUGAUAUAUACAGUUUAUAUAAUUUCUCUCGGGUUUACCAUGUCCUCGUUUUGUUGAAAUAUUGUGUGUCACAGAUUUUUAGCCAAGAUAUUGUCUCAGCAUUGAGAAACGGCCUGAAUCUACAUUAUUCUUUUAUUACUUUGUAUACAAAACAGUUUAAUUGAUUACUGCCUCGUGACAAAAAAGUUUUGGCUCAAAAUUGAUUAAUUUGUGAAAUUUGGGGUCAAAUUGAGGUUAAAUUAAGGAUGAAAUUGGAGCAUAUUAACGUAUGAGGGGCUAUUUUAGUCUUUUAUAAAAAUCUGGACCAUGUGUGGACUUAUUUAUAAAAGAGUUUUUUGUUUGAAUCUCUUUAUGAAUAAGUUCUCAUUUUUUGUUUGAAUCUCACUAAUAUAUUACAUUCACUAAUCAAAGAAAAGGAGCUGAACCCAUUUAAUUUAGGGUAAAUUACAAACACCCCCCUGAGGUAUGGUCAAAUUACAAAAACCCCCCUCUUGUUUGGAUAAUUACAUCUACCCCCUCAACUAUGAUUUUUUUCGUACACCUCCACCCUUAUUGUGCCAAAUUCAAUAUAAUCAUCUAGAUUCCGUGGAAUGUGCUCUAGUUUGUAUUCUUUAUGUGUAAAAAUACAGUUUUCGAUGCACUACAAACUGAUAUACACAAGCUAAAAAUCACAUAUUAUGAUCAUCUUACUUCAUAAUGUAGAGUUUGAAUGGUAUAAAACGGGUACAAAAGUGAUAAUAUUUCAUAUAAUCUCGAAGAUUCCACUAAAUUUGAAGAGAUGAGGGGGUGGUUGUAAUUAUCCAAACAAGAGGGGUGUAUUUGUAAUUUGAUCAUACUUCAGGGGGGUAUUUGUAAUUUACCCUUUAAUUUAUUACAUUCACAAUCCCAUCGAAAAUAUAUCCCUUCUUAGAUAAAGUGAGCAAAUAAAUUCGACAUAUAAUUUCCAAUUUGCGUAUGUUUUUUUUUCCUUCUCAAAUUUUCUAAUUUUAUUUUAGGGAUUAUUUUGUAGACCCCCCUCAUUUCCAAAUUAUAUAGAACUAACUAUCAAGUGGAUUACACUCUAGGUGAAACCCCCCUCAUUUCGAAAAUAUUUUGACAUAACCCCCUGGGCUACCCUGAAGUUCCUAUAAUACCCUUCUAAAAUCAGUUUUAACCCUAGCCACUCACGGUCUCUCUCUUCUUCUCCCAAAUACAAAAUCCCGCCUCUACAAACCUCUCACCGGCGAAAUUGCUUCCCGGAGCCAUAACUCUCUCUCCGGUGGUCGGAAUUCGAUGGUUUAACUACCGUUGGAUUCCUCUCGUCGAGCUCUUUCUUUGGUGGUGAUUUCAUUCAGUUUCGAGCGCGGAUCUGUUUCUGCAAUUUUUUUUCAUUCGAGGACGGUGGUCUUGCCGGAGCUUUAUUUUGUGUUCCACCCGUCGAAAUUUGACGGGUCAUCCACCGUUGGAUUCCUCUCGUCGGGAUCUAUAUUUUGAUGGUAAUUUCGUUUAUUUUUAUCUUUUCAGAUUUAUUUCUAUAUUUUUUUUGCAUUCCCCAGCAAUAACCUCUCUAUCUAUCUCUCGAUCUCUUAAUGUUUGGUGAUUUUUGAGUGUUUUGAUGUUUUUAUUCAAAUUUGUUGAUUUGCACUAAAGUAAUUUCUUUUUGUUUUGAUUUUGCAAUUGCAGCGUAAUGAAGGCCAUUGAUUCUUUCCUUGAAGGUGUCAAUUUUUUGUUUUUUUAAGUUACAUCAGAUCUGUUCAACAGACUGUAUACAUUACUAUGCAUUACUAUAGUAACAUGUAGUUACAUAUGCGUAUAUUUUAUGUAUUUUCGAUUUGUAUUUUAUUGGUUCUGAUGUGAUUUAUAAUAAAAAUAUUUAAAUUUGUAAAUUUUUGUUGGGGUUUUAUGAAUUUAUUUUGUAUAAGUCAGUAUUCGUGUGUGUAUACAAUUGAUCGACUAAAAAU
rnacentral:lncRNA from 1 species